UACGGAGGGUGCAAACGUUGCUCGGAAUUAUUGGGCGUAAAGCGCACGUAGGCGGACCAUCAAGUCGGAUGUGAAAUCCCUCGGCUUAACCGAGGACGUGCAUUCGAAACUGAUGGCCUUGAGUACGAAAAGAGGAUCGCGGAAUUCCCGGUGUAGAGGUGAAAUUCGUAGAUAUCGGGGAGGAACACCAGUGGCGGAAGGGCGGCGUCUGGGUCGAUACUGACGCUGAGGUGCGAAAAGCGUGGGGGAGCAAACAGG
rnacentral:rRNA from 1 species